UUAUUGGAGAGUUUGAUCCUGGCUCAGGACGAACGCUGGCGGCGUGCCUAAUACAUGCAAGUCGAGCGAAUCUGAGGGAGCUUGCUCCCAAAGAUUAGCGGCGGACGGGUGAGUAACACGUGGGCAACCUGCCUGUAAGACUGGGAUAACUUCGGGAAACCGGAGCUAAUACCGGAUAAUCCUUUUCUACUCAUGUAGAAAAGCUGAAAGAUGGCUUCGGCUAUCACUUACAGAUGGGCCCGCGGCGCAUUAGCUAGUUGGUGAGGUAACGGCUCACCAAGGCGACGAUGCGUAGCCGACCUGAGAGGGUGAUCGGCCACACUGGGACUGAGACACGGCCCAGACUCCUACGGGAGGCAGCAGUAGGGAAUCUUCCGCAAUGGACGAAAGUCUGACGGAGCAACGCCGCGUGAGUGAUGAAGGUUUUCGGAUCGUAAAACUCUGUUGUUAGGGAAGAACAAGUACCGUUCGAAUAGGGCGGUACCUUGACGGUACCUAACCAGAAAGCCACGGCUAACUACGUGCCAGCAGCCGCGGUAAUACGUAGGUGGCAAGCGUUGUCCGGAAUUAUUGGGCGUAAAGCGCGCGCAGGUGGUUUCUUAAGUCUGAUGUGAAAGCCCCCGGCUCAACCGGGGAGGGUCAUUGGAAACUGGGAGACUUGAGUGCAGAAGAGGAAAGUGGAAUUCCAAGUGUAGCGGUGAAAUGCGUAGAGAUUUGGAGGAACACCAGUGGCGAAGGCGACUUUCUGGUCUGUAACUGACACUGAGGCGCGAAAGCGUGGGGAGCGAACAGGAUUAGAUACCCUGGUAGUCCACGCCGUAAACGAUGAGUGCUAAGUGUUAGAGGGUUUCCGCCCUUUAGUGCUGCAGCAAACGCAUUAAGCACUCCGCCUGGGGAGUACGGCCGCAAGGCUGAAACUCAAAGGAAUUGACGGGGGCCCGCACAAGCGGUGGAGCAUGUGGUUUAAUUCGAAGCAACGCGAAGAACCUUACCAGGUCUUGACAUCCUCUGGCAAUCCUAGAGAUAGGACGUUCCCCUUCGGGGGGACAGAGUGACAGGUGGUGCAUGGUUGUCGUCAGCUCGUGUCGUGAGAUGUUGGGUUAAGUCCCGCAACGAGCGCAACCCUUGAUCUUAGUUGCCAGCAUUCAGUUGGGCACUCUAAGGUGACUGCCGGUGACAAACCGGAGGAAGGUGGGGAUGACGUCAAAUCAUCAUGCCCCUUAUGACCUGGGCUACACACGUGCUACAAUGGAUGGUACAAAGGGCUGCAAGACCGCGAGGUUUAGCCAAUCCCAUAAAACCAUUCUCAGUUCGGAUUGCAGGCUGCAACUCGCCUGCAUGAAGCCGGAAUCGCUAGUAAUCGCGGAUCAGCAUGCCGCGGUGAAUACGUUCCCGGGCCUUGUACACACCGCCCGUCACACCACGAGAGUUUGUAACACCCGAAGUCGGUGGGGUAACCGCAAGGAGCCAGCCGCCUAAGGUGGGACAGAUGAUUGGGGUGAAGUCGUAACAAGGUAGCCGUAUCGGAAGGUGCGGCUGGAUCACCUCCUUU
rnacentral:rRNA from 1 species